rnacentral:rRNA from 1 species
AGCUAGCUGCGAGAAUUAAUGUGAAUUGCAGGACACAUUGAUCAUCGACACUUUGAACGCACUUUGCGGCCCCGGGUUCCUCCCGGGGCUACGUCUGUCUGAGGGUCGCAUGACAA